rnacentral:lncRNA from 1 species
AGAAGAGUGUAGCACUGCAUAAAACAGAGUUAAAAAGGAACAAAAACCUUAAAAUUACUAUUCGCAAACAUCCAAACACAAUGGCUGCAUAUACUUCAACACAACUACAAAUCAUUCAAAGAUAAAAGGUGUCAUAAAACCAAAAUGCUUGGGGACAUGGCCUGGCAAAAGGAUGCCACACCAGAAAUGUGAGGUUACAGUUUUGACAAAACUACCAACAAAUUCGGACUUAGGGACUUUUCUCAGUCAUUGUGGUUUGUUGACAACUGAACAUGGAGCUGCUACUUGCCCCCCCCCUUAAAUUGCACUUGUCGUCUUACACCAUUCGCGUCACUUUGCCCUCUAUUUCCUCCUGAAUCAACUAGCUUUUCUGGACAUCGCUCUACGUGAUGUCCAAAUUUACCACAAAAGGUAAAGACUUUCAUACUCCACCUAAUAUAUCCUAUCUUUUAUCGAAAACAUGGCUAGCAAAGGCUCGGGCAGAUCGCUUUUAACACAUACUUCUGUCUUUUUUUAAGCAAGGCAUUCAUAUC